rnacentral:lncRNA from 1 species
UUUUAAGUGGAGACAGUUUUACUAGAACAUGUUUUCUAAGUUGGAAAGCGUAUUCUGUGUCUGUUGCGGCUGAAAAUACGCUUUCUCUAUGCAAAAGCGUAUCCUGCCCAAAGGCGCUUUCGGUUUUUCCUCUCAGGGACCCGUUAGUGAUAAAAAUAUUCACAGAUUAGUCCCCGUUCUUCCACCCUUCGUAUCUCCGCAACCGUAACUCUGAUUGAGGUGAAACCAACGCUCACUUCUUCGUCUCGUCGAGAUCUUUCUGUUGGUAACAUUUUCACUAGGUGGUCCCACAGUGAAAAUGACCAUUUUUCCCUUGCUUCUAAUCAGCCUGUUUCGAGAGAGAAGAACGUCCCGCAAAUCGUUCUGCGGCUUCACCGCACUUCUUCCCGGAAUCUCCGUCACCCCCAGGCAAGCCACAAUAGCCAAUUGCAUGAUAGCCAUGCACUAGCCAUGGUUUCUACUUGAAUAUUUAAUAAACGUUUGCUCGUUAUCUGCCUGCUUAUUUGCUACUACUGUCGUUGUUUCGGUUAUGCUCGUGGAUUCAUGUUCACCUUCAUGCUAUGUUUCGAUGCAUCUUGUUAUCUUGUACUACUUGCUAGUAUUAUUUUCUCAUGUUAUGCUUGGUAGUAGUAGUAGUAGUAGUAGUAGUAGUAGUAGUAGUAGUAGUAGUAGUAGUAGUAGUAGUAGUACAUGCUGGUAGUAGUGAUGUUCAUUCUGAUGCAUGCUUACCGUCUGUUAUCAAGUAUCGUUGCUAUGUAUGUUCCGUUGCAUCAAGUUGGUUACAUGCUUACUUGGUAGUAUUAUUGUCAUAUUCUUGCAUGGUAUUUAUUUAUGAUGCUAGUAGUCAUGCUAUGCUCAUGUGUAAUGUUAUGCUUAUGCUCGUCAGUAUGCCAUGCUCAUGUGGUUAAAUGCUUCAUUGUGGUUAUGCUCGAUGAUCAUGUUGCACCUCCAUGCUUAUGUUGAUAUCAUGCUCAUGCAUUGUAGUUGCAUCAUGUUAUUUUAUUAUGGCUCAGCUCAUUGCAUUCAAGUUUAACCGGAUAAUAAUGAACUUGAACAACCGUUGGUUGAGUCAUGGUGCCACCAAAUCGAGCUGACCAGUGCAACCACAUUUGCCUUAUAUGGGAAGGCCUUAAUGCGGUCUAUUGUCAUGCCUCUCGCCGGUGCCUCGAAAGAGGGAAGUUUAUGGGCGCGCGCUACCCUGAUCAGGUAGGCGAACAUAAGCCUUGUGUGCCCGUUGUUGUUGUAAGGAUGCUUGUCCCCGUUUGGGACCGUUUAUGUUUUGCCACGAUGGUGGCCGGCCACGUAGGCGGCGGAUGUCACGAGUUGACAUCAGGGCCACCCAGGACUUAGCCCAAAGGGGAGUUUGUCAGAGUGGCUGGGAGGGUGUGAUGGCAAUAGAUCGGUUUUGUCGGAAUGUUGUUGGUCCACCCGAAUGGGAGUGCGAGGCCAUGGAUUCCGUGGUGUGGGUACAGUGUACUAACCUCUGUAGAGUGUGUGUGUAAACCUAUCGAUAGCCGCGCCCGCGGAUAUGGGCCCAGUUCGUAGUUGGUCACACUAUGAGCCAACUCUAAUAAUAACUUGAUUAAUAAUAAUCCCGGUUCGAUGAUGAGAAAGAGAUUGGUUGUGAUCGAGAGAGGAUCAUGGAGGUAUCAUGGAUACCGAAGUUGGUUGGUUGAUAUUUAUGUGAUCGCGAGAUGAUCACGGUGGUAUCAUAGAUACCGAAGUUGGUUGAUAUUUAUGUGAUCGCGAGAUGAUCAUGGAGGUAUCAUGGAUACCGAUGUUGGUAAGUUGAUGCAUGAGAUGGUUACGAGGUACCACCGAAGAAGAGUAAAUUGGUGCAUGAUAUGGUUUACCUAUUGAAUGUAGUACCAUCAUGUUCAUAUGCUCAUGGCAUGCUAAUGUUGUUUUAGAUUUAUCAUGUUCAGUUUGUGUAUGCCAUGAAUCAUGUUCAUGAUUGCUUUAACCUUCUAAUGCCAUGUUGUUUUUUUGUCUUGACUGGUUUUGGUUAAUUGUGAGCUUGCAAGUACAUUCAAUGUACUAACCUAGCGUGCCAUGCCAGUUUGCAGGUCGUGCCUGGAUUGCUUGCUUGUUUGGUGUGGUUCCUGUGUUCGCGAGCUAGGAUAAACAUUCCAACCAGAGUCCCCGCGGAUUGGAGUCCAUCAUUGUCGUUCGUUGUUCCGCUGACAGUAGAGGUUCCGCUGCCCCCAAUUGUUAUGUUGCUUGCAUAGAGCAACUAUGGUUGGCAUAGCGUCGCCGUGCUGGUGUUAUUCAUUGUAAUAUUGGAGACCUUGUAUUCAUAUUCGUGUUGUAAUAGAGAGUUGGUUUUUUCUAUGCUAAGCAGUGCCGUAUUCUGGAAGACUUCACCUUGAUCUCUAGGAUGGAAUACAGGGCGUUCCGGUUUCUCUGAGCCGGGGUGAGGGAGUCCUGGAUUAGGGGGUCCCCGGGCGUCCGGGCUAUGUGACAUGGGCUGGACUGGUGGGACGUGAAGAAACAAGAAAGAAGGCUUCCCCCGUGUCCGGAU